GAGCCUUUCACAAGCUCCUUCAGAUCAAAUGGCAUCAUAGGCCUAGCAUUGGGCUGUUCUCUGAUCUGCUUCUCUCCAGGCUGGUCGAAUUGAGAAGCCGUGGUACUGACUUCUGUAGACGAGAAGCUCGAGGAGCGUGGAGAAGACGAAAAGGAAGGCCGUGAAGAGGAUUCGGAAGAUACUCUAUGCUUUUCUUUCACUGCAGACUUCUUCUUCUUCUUGAUGGAGAAGAAACGAAGAAAUGGACAGGAAGAAGCCAGCAUUAAGGAGCUUCUUGUGAAGUUAUGACCAGACAACAGAUUAGGCUCUUUGGUGUUUUGCUUUGGAGGCUACCUUGAAGAAGAAAGAAGAGAAGUGGAAAAAAAGGUUUUUGUUUUAGUUCUUUGAUAAAGAGGUUUGUUUCUUUAAAGGCAAAAGAUACAACUGUCGCCGGAAAGCUUUGAAGCAUAUAUAAUGUAAGAAUGUACAUGUGUUAACAUGUAAGGUUAUAUACAUGUAACAAAUUUUGUAUUUAUCAUAUAUUCUUUCAAUUAUGUCAGAGCUCUGAAAAA